UGGCCUUGACAUGCAGAGCACUUUCCAGAGAUGGAUUGGUGCCUUCGGGAACUCUGACAC
rnacentral:rRNA from 1 species